AGCAGCCGCGGUAAUUCCAGCUCCAAUAGCGUAUAUUAAAGUUGUUGCAGUUAAAAAGCUCGUAGUUGAAUUUCGGGAUUGACACAUCGGUCGUGCCUUAAGGGGUAUGAACUGGUGUAGUCAAUUUCUCACCUUCUGGAGAACCGCGAUGCCCUUAAUUGGGUGUCGCGGGGAACCAGGACCUUUACUUUGAAAAAAUUAGAGUGUUUAAAGCAGGCAUUUUGCUUGAAUACAUUAGCAUGGAAUAAUAAAAUAGGACGGCAUGAUUCUAUUUUGUUGGUUUCUAGGAUCACCGUAAUGAUUAAUAGGGAUAGUUGGGGGCAUUAGUAUUCAAUUGUCAGAGGUGAAAUUCUUGGAUUUAUUGAAGACUAACUACUGCGAAAGCAUUUGCCAAGGAUGUUUUCAUUAAUCAAGAACGAAAGUUAGGGGAUCGAAGGCGAUCAGAUACCG
rnacentral:rRNA from 1 species